AACAUGCUGCGAGGGACCUGGCUCCUGCGGGCGCCACCCCGGCUGCCUGGCACCCCUGUGCCCCUUCUGUGGGGGGCUGCUUUUGCGUGGGCCAGCGGAGCCCUCGGUGGCACUGAGGAUGUGUGAGCCGGGGGGUGGGAGGAGCAGGAGCGGCUUCGCUUGGAGCAGGAGCGGGAGCAGGAACAGAAGAAGGCCAAUAGCCUGGCCAGGCUGGCACAUGCCCUUCCUGUGGAGGAACCCCGCAUGGAGGCACCACCCCUGCCUCUGUCUCCGCCGGCUCCCCCGCCGGCACCCCCACCCCCACUUGCCACCCCUGCCCCACUGACUGUCAUUCCUAUCCCUGUGGUGACGAACUCCCCUCAGCCUCUACCCCCACCCCCACCCUUGCCCCCGGCAGCCCAGCCUCUGCCCCUGGCACCUCGUCAGCCGGCCCUGGUUAGCACCCCUGGACUCAGCAUUAAGGAGCCUGCCCCCCUGCCGAGCAGGCCGCAGGUGCCCACCCCUGCUCCCCUACUGCCGGACUCGAAGACCACCAUUCCACCCACUGGCAGCCCCAAGCCUUUGCAGCCCCUCCCCACGC
rnacentral:sRNA from 1 species